rnacentral:rRNA from 1 species
UAGCAAUAUUCUGUAGUCGGAGCGGCGCAAGGGUGCGUAACACGUGGGUAAUCUGCCAUGAAGUUUGGGAUAACUCGCUGAAAGGCGAGCUAAUACCGGAUGUGAAGAUUGGAAGGCAUCUUUUGAUCUUCAAAGCUGGGGACCGUAAGGCCUGGCGCUUCAUGAUGAGCCCGCGGCCUAUCAGCUAGUUGGUGAGGUAACGGCUCACCAAGGCUAAGACGGGUAGCUGGUCUGAGAGGACGACCAGCCACACUGGAACUGAGACACGGUCCAGACACCUACGGGUGGCAGCAGUCGAGAAUUUUUCACAAUGGGGGAAACCCUGAUGGAGCGACGCCGCGUGGGGGAUGAAUGGCUUCGGCCCGUAAACCCCUGUCAUUCGCGAACAAUGCCUGUGUAUUAACACCAUACAGGUUGAUAGUAGCGGAAGAGGAAGGGACGGCUAACUCUGUGCCAGCAGCCGCGGUAAUACAGAGGUCCCAAGCGUUGUUCGGAUUCACUGGGCGUAAAGGGUGCGUAGGCGGUCGGGUAAGUCUGAUGUGAAAUCUCACAGCUUAACUGUGAAACUGCAUUGGAUACUAUUCGGCUUGAGGUCUGGAGGGGGGACUGGAAUUCUCGGUGUAGCA